UGGGGGAUAUUGCACAAUGGGCGAAAGCCUGAUGCAGCGACGCCGCGUGGGGGAUGAAGGCCUUCGGGUUGUAAACUUCUUUUGCUCUGAACAAGGCAUGCUUUUGGGGUGUGUUGAGUGUAGGGGUUGAUUAGCGCCGGCUAACUACGUUCCAGCAGCCGCGGUAAUACGUAGGGCGCGAGCGUUUUCUGGAAUUAUUGGGCGUAAAGGGCUUGUAGGUGGCUGGUUGCGUCUGUCGUGAAAGCUCAUGGCUUAACUGUGGGUUUGCGGUGGGUACGGGCUGGCUUGAGUGCAGUAGGGGAGGCUGGAAUUCCUGGUGUAGCGGUGGAAUGCGCAGAUAUCAGGAAGAAUACCGGUGGCGAAGGCGGGUCUCUGGGCUGUUACUGACGCUGAGGAGCGAAAGCGUGGGGAGCGAACAGG
rnacentral:rRNA from 1 species